CCCAGGGAACAAGACAUUGGCAGCAGCCAUUAUUGUGACCUAGUACAGGCAUGCUGACACAGAUGCCAGCAGACGCCAUUGGAGUUCUUCCUCUGGCCUGUUAGCCCAGGGGUUGGCACCACAUACUAAAGCACUGAUUUAAUCCAGUUCAGCCGUGGCAGGCAGUUGGCCCUUGGCACUGGCUGGCCCCACUCAACAGCAAGCCCUCAGGCAAUUCAUGGGCCCACAUAAGCAGGGUGCCUGAAAACUCUGGCUGCCAGAGAUGUGGCAGCCUCAGUUUUACAACCUUAGCCAACAUCAAGUGUGAAUAUAGAUCCAUGAAAGCCCAUUACUCUGUUUUCCCUUUAAAAUUGUCACAGACCUUCAGAUAUUUCCACGUACUUUUCAAAGACUUUCCUAAACAAGCCUGGGCUUUCAGUCUCUAACCUGGAAGACAGGUGGCCAACCAGGGCCUCCAGGCUCUCAUCCUACUGACAACUUCUGGCAUCCAGACCACAAUGCUUAGAUUGUAGGGACUCUGUAAAUUAAAAAAAAAAGAAACCUUUUGAUCAUUUAGUCAGCUUUAAGCCAGCAGUCAUGAUUUAUAGGAACAGAUUCCUUUAGCUCUAAUUUUAAAACCAUAAAAACGUUUUAACCAGGGCAGACAGACUGGUCAAUGGCCAUCACACUUUGACACAUGAGCUCUGAAAUUGAACACACCUGCCACUCUCGCAUUAAAAACUCAGAGGUCAGUAGCAACAGCAUCAGAACAUGAAAGUCAGGGAGAUGUGAAUGGUCUUAAAGUUGCACCGGUUGUGACAUUCCUUGAUCCAGGGGCUGCCUCUUCACUACCUUGCAUGCUUGCGAGGUGAAUAUACUUUUUUUUCUCUUGAGAACAAGACAAAUAGUCAAGAUGAUCUUAUCAGCAGUCAGAAAGUCAAAUAUUCAAUGGCACAGGAAGUGGCAAUUGUGACAGAUCAUUGGUCCAAGUAAACCAAAGUGUAGUGACCUUGUGACAAAGACAUGAGUGUCCCAAAUACCAGGAAGUAAGACAAUCCUCAAUAAAAACAAACAAACUGACAGGUCCUACAUAGAAAGUCAUCUAGAUUGCCUGUUAUGUCCUACCCAAGGAGACAAGAUGCCCUGUCUUUGGUCGUAGGACCAAAAAACGAAAACAUAAUUUCAGUGUUUCUUCUAUUAAUGAAAGCAGUAGAAAAGCUGCUUAAAAAAUAAACCUAAAUUUAAUCUAUAGUCAGGGUAAGUGAAAGUAAAAUAUUACCGGAUGAUAAGAUUCACCCUGAGAGCUGAGAAAGGCAAAUCCGGAUACAAGGGGCUGACAAGAGGCACGUCUCAGACAGCACAGUGCGGUUGACUCCCCAAGUUGAAUGGAGAGAAAGUGUCUCCUAGUGUCAGUUGAUGACCAUCAUCUUCUUGGGCAGAACUUGGAGGUUGACCACCUCAAGGACCACCGCUCAGGCCAUACACGGACUCACCUUGGCUCAGACGUCUCUACUUCCUGCAGCCUCCCAUCACACUACCCAACCGAAAAAUCCUUGAAGGCAAGAACUUCAUCUGCUAGUUUUUAUCCCUGACAACAUCUAAGAUUCUGUGCUCACCAAGGAUGUUAAAUAAAUGUUGCUGAGUGACUUGAGC
ensembl:lncRNA